rnacentral:piRNA from 1 species
UAUUAUGUGACAGAGAACACACACAGUGCG